CCUACGGGUGGCAGCAGUGGGGAAUAUUGCACAAUGUGCGACACCCUGAUGCAGCGACGCCGCGUGAGUGAAGAAGUAUCUCGGUAUGUAAAGCUCUAUCAGCAGGGAACAAACUGAAUGUACUUGACUAAGACUCACCGCCUAACUACGUGCCAGUAGCCGCGGUAAUACGUAGGAGCAAAUCGUUAUCCGGAAUUACUGGGUGUAAAGGGAUCGUAGACGGCCCUGCAAGUCCUGUGUGAAAGACCAUGGCUUAACCAUGGUACUGCUCUGGACACUGUCGAGCUUGGGUGCGGGAGGGGCAGGUGGAAUUCCUAGUGUAGCGAUGAAAUGUGUAGAUAUUAGGAGGAACACCGGCGGCGAAGGCGGGCUGCUGGACCGUAACUGACGUUGAGGAGCGAAAGCGUGGGGAGCAAACAGGAUUAGAUACCCGAGUAGUC
rnacentral:rRNA from 1 species